rnacentral:rRNA from 1 species
UACGUAGGGGGCAAGCGUUGUCCGGAUUUACUGGGCGUAAAGAGCGCGUAGGCGGAACGUUAAGCGGGGCCGGAAAGCCCCCGGCUCAACCGGGGAAGGGGCCGCGAACUGGCGUUCUUGAGGGGGAGAGGGGAGAGCGGAAGUUCCUGGUGUAGCGGUGAAAUGCGUAGAUAUCGGGAGGAACACCAGUGGCGAAGGCGACUUCCUGGCCUGUUCUUGACGCUGAGGCGCGAAAGCUAGGGGAGCAAACGGG